GACGAACGCUGGCGGCGUGCCUAAUACAUGCCAGUUGAGCGCUGAAGGUUGGUACUUGUACCAACUGGAUGAGCAGCGAACGGGUGAGUAACGCGUGGGGAAUCUGCCUUUGAGCGGGGGACAACAUUUGGAAACGAAUGCUAAUACCGCAUAAAAACUUUAAACACAAGUUUUAAGUUUGAAAGAUGCAAUUGCAUCACUCAAAGAUGAUCCCGCGUUGUAUUAGCUAGUUGGUGAGGUAAAGGCUCACCAAGGCGAUGAUACAUAGCCGACCUGAGAGGGUGAUCGGCCACAUUGGGACUGAGACACGGCCCAAACUCCUACGGGAGGAAGCAGUAGGGAAUCUUCGGCAAUGGACGAAAGUCUGACCGAGCAACGCCGCGUGAGGGAAGAAGGUUUUCGGAUCGUAAAACUCUGUUGGUAGAGAAGAACGUUGGUGAGAGUGGAAAGCUCAUCAAGUGACGGUAACUACCCAGAAAGGGACGGCUAACUACGUG
rnacentral:rRNA from 1 species